UUACCGGAUGGGCUGUUUACUUGUUUGGUUUAUUUGGGGAAUUUUCCAGCCCAUCCCAGAUCUUCCCGACCCACUAACCUCCACGCUCCGGUUUUCUCACCCACGAGGUCAACCCCGUGUUUUUGGUCGUGGAAAGCAGACGAAAGAGGGAGGCGACGCGACGGUGGCGACAGGCGGCGGGGAAAGGAGACGGCGGCAGGGACUGAGCGAGCAAACCGCAACGGAGACGACGAGAUCCUUCUCGAGCGACUGGUCGCAUAUGGAGGUCCUUUGAUGGUGGCGGCGUGGUUUCUGGCAUUCAGCGGCGAGCACGCAUGACUUCUAAUGUUCUGCAAACUGCACGACGUUGAGUUUAUGGCGGCGGUUGCUCAUCUGCUGAGUCGAACAUUUAUUUAUAUGUGUGUUCUUGUUCGAGAAAAUUGCAUGACACUGAGUUUAUGUAAAACAUGGAGUUUUUAAUUUACUAAUUGUCCAUUAUCA